UGGGGAAUUUUGCACAAUGGAGGAAACUCUGAUGCAGCGACGCCGCGUGAGUGAUGAAGAUCUUCGGAUUGUAAAACUCUGUCCUUAGUGAAGAUAAUGACAGUAACUAAGAAGCAAGCCCUGGCUAAAUACGUGCCAGCAGCCGCGGUAAUACGUAUGGGGCAAGCGUUGUCCGGAAUUAUUGGGCGUAAAGGGUACGUAGGCGGUUUAAUAAGUCCUAAUUAAAAGGCUAUGGCUCAACCAUAGUAUGGUUAGGAAACUGUUGAACUUGAGUAGAUGAGGGGAAAAUGGAAUUCCAUGUGUAGCGGUGAAAUGCGUAGAUAUAUGGAGGAACACCAAUGGCGAAGGCAACUUUCUGGAAUCAAACUGACGCUGAGGUACGAAGGCGUGGGGAGCAAACAGG
rnacentral:rRNA from 1 species